rnacentral:rRNA from 1 species
UACGUAGGGUGCAAGCGUUAAUCGGAAUUACUGGGCGUAAAGCGUGCGCAGGCGGUUAUGUAAGACAGGUGUGAAAUCCCCGGGCUUAACCUGGGAACUGCAUUUGUGACUGCAUAGCUAGAGUACGGUAGAGGGGGAUGGAAUUCCGCGUGUAGCAGUGAAAUGCGUAGAUAUGCGGAGGAACACCAAUGGCGAAGGCAAUCCCCUGGACCUGUACUGACGCUCAUGCACGAAAGCGUGGGGAGCAAACAGG